rnacentral:RNase_P_RNA from 1 species
CGAGCCGGCCGGGCGGCCGCGUCGGGCCCGCGAGGGUCCGCCGAGGAAGGUCCGGGCUCCACAGGGCAGGGUGGUCGGUAACGCCGACCCGGGGUGACCCGCGGGACAGUGCCACAGAAAACAGACCGCCUCCCCUUUCGGGGAGGUAAGGGUGAAACGGUGGUGUAAGAGACCACCAGCGCCCACGGUGACGUGGGCGGCUCGGUAAACCCCACCUGGAGCAAGGUCAAGAAGGGCGUCUCGCGAGAGGCGCCCGCGCGCGGCGUUCGAGGGCUGCCCGCCCGAGCCGCGCGGGUAGACCGCUUGAGGCCGCCGGCAACGGCGGCCCUAGAUGGAUGGUCGCCCCCUCACCAGAGGGACAAAACCCGGCCUACAGGCCGGCUCGUCAC